UAUAUUUCUCUUUGAACUAGGGGUCCUUCCUUAAUUGCUGAGAAUCAAUUCCGGCCGCCAGCGGUAUCACCUAAACGCCCACGAACACCUAAAUUCCCGAACAUCAGAUACGACCAGACACAUAAAAAGCUUCGAACAUCACAACAGAGUGUCCAGCGGUCGGAAUUUGAUUCAAUUCGCAUGGCAAUUAGUUCCAUUGGAAGGACCCUGGGUGGCUGGUAAGAACGAAACAAAAUACAAUAUUGGAGUAUCAGAUUUUUAAUUUUUUCCUCUUUCAUCUAGGGGGUCCUUCCUUACUUGCUGAGAAUCAAUUCCGGCCGGUAGCGGUAUCACCUAAACGCCCACAAACACCUACAUUCCCGAAAUCAUUUCGACCAGACACAUACAUAGCUUUCCAACAUCACAACAACGUGUGUCCAGCGGUCGGAAUUUGAUUCUAUGCGCAUGGCAAUUAGUUCCAUUGGAAGGACCCUUGGUGGCUGGGGGUCAUUCCUUACUUGCUGAGAAUCAAUUCCGGCCGGUAGCGGUAUCACCUAAACGCCCACAAACACUUACAUUCCCGAAAUCAUUUCGACCAGACACAUACAUAGCUUUCCAACAUCACAACAACGUGUGUCCAGAGGUCGAAAUUUGAUCCUAUGCGCAUGGUAAUUAGUUCCAUUGGAAGGAUCCUGGGUGGCUGUGGGUCCUUCCUUACUUGCUGAGAAUCAAUUCCGGCCGGUAGCGGUAUCACCUAAACGCCAACGAACACCUACAUUCCCGAACAUUAGAUACGACCAGACACAUAAAUAGCUUCGAACAUCACAACAGCGUGUGUCCAGAGGUCGGAAUAUGAUUCUAUGCGCAUGGCAAUUAGUUCCAUUGGAAGGACCCUGGGUGGCUGUGGGUCCUUCCUUACUUGCUGAGAAUCAAUUCCGGCCGGUAGCGGUAGCACCUAAACGCCCAAGAACACCUACAUUCCUGAACAUCAGAUACGACCAGACACAUAAAUAUCUUCGAACAUCACAACAGCGUGUGUCCAGAGGUCGGAAUUUGAUUCUAUGCGCAUGGCAAUCAGUUCCAUUGGAAGGACCCUGGGUGGCUGGGGUCCUUCCUUAAUUGCUGAGAAUCAAUUUCCGACCGUUCGUUUAUCACCAUAUGCCAACCACACAUUCUAUGUUGCCUCAACUCACAGAUUUUUUUUAUAGUACG